GAUGAACGCUGGCGGCGUGCCUAACACAUGCAAGUCGAGCGAGAAGCCAUAAAAGGACACUUCGGUAGAAUUAUAUGGCGGAAAGCGGCGGACGGGUGAGUAACGCGUGGGAAACCUGCCUUUCACAGAGGGAUAGCCGAAGGAAACUACGAUUAAUACCUCAUAAAGCAAAAGCUUCGCAUGGAGCGAUUGCCAAAGAAUAAUCGGUGAAAGAUGGUCCCGCGUCUGAUUAGUUAGUUGGUAAGGUAGCGGCUUACCAAGGCGACGAUCAGUAGCCGGCCUGAGAGGGUGAACGGCCACAUUGGAACUGAGACACGGUCCAGACUCCUACGGGAGGCAGCAGUGGGGGAUAUUGCACAAUGGGCGAAAGCCUGAUGCAGCAACGCCGCGUGAAGGAAGAAGGCUUUCGAGUCGUAAACUUCUGUCCAAAGGGAAGAAAAGAUGACGUACCUUG
rnacentral:rRNA from 1 species